UCUGAGUCUCAAUUCAACGGCAGGUGAUUACUUCAGCCCCGUCAGAUUCCAGGCAAUGCAUAUCCUACAUUCUUAUCUGGAUAUCCGUGCUGCUUUUAACUCCCAUCUGUGCCCCAGCGAGAUAAAACUGAAAGAGGCACCAUCAUCCUUCCCCUUGACCUUCUCCUGUGGCAAGAGAGAUGCCAUUCAUCAGCUCAUAAAGCAGUGCACGCAGACCCCAACCCUCCAUAUGACAAGAAGAGCUGUUCUGCUACCUCAGGAGCUGCUGGAAAAAAAAUACAUAAAACCAAACAGCUUGCCUUGCUCUUGAGCUCAUGGAUAACACGUACAGGUACAGAGUUGCCUGAGUCUUCUGAGGAUCAAGUAACAGGAAAUUGGAUGGAUGCUUUGCUGCAGUUAAUUUCCAGUAAAGAAAACAAAGUACAGAAUGAAUGGAGAUAGUGACGAUGAGGGAAAUACUCCAAGAAUCAGCUUUAGCUCUCUGACUGUCCUUCCAGGAAACAAUGAAAUCAUUUUAGCCCGCUUCAACUGGCUAGAAGCACCCAAGAAAUCUUUUGUCCUGUAGUGAAAAUCAGAACAUGAACACCCUGGGCACCAUGAAGUCUUGAGUUGGAUACAACCUGGGCCAAGAGGCCCACCCAUCUCUCUAUACUGAUCUAGACCACCCUAAGUUUGUUACUGGCACUGCAUCAAGGUUUAAGAGUCCCUCCUAUUACAGUAUUCCCAGACUGAUGACCAAUUAAUUCUUUGCUGUCUCUGUACUAUUAAUUGCCCAAUAAAUGUAUCUUUGCAAUUGAAAAUUCUAUUUUAAGUUAAAAUAAUGAAGGAUUUUAUUGUUAUAUAAGUGUUUCUAGGUAUGUUGAUGUAAAAAAAUCAACGAGAAAACAACUUCUUCCAUUCAGAGGAUAUCGUAAACCAUGUUUUUUUUUUCCUCAGGAAUAAAGAUCUAUUAAUCGGGCAGAUUUUAUGUUCCAAACUUGUAUGUGGAAAAACUGGAGAGCAGCAAAUCUAGUGAAACAUAGUUUCUCUGCAUUUUCAUCGCUUAGGCACUACUAAACUUUGGCAAUAAAACAACAAGCCCCAGCUCUCAGGUAUCACUUACGGUGUGCCCUUGGAUCCAAGGCAACGUAAGUUACGACUUGCACCAACCCCUACACAUGGUGAUUAGUGAGUCCUGCAUAUGACACUGCUUUUUUGACUGGAUGCUACCCCAAAAUGUAUACCAACAGAGCACUGCCUGCCCUUUCACAUCAAUGACUUGUAAAGUUGUCAAGCGUACUGGCAGAGGAAUAGCACAAUCCACACGACCCGUUUCCCUAAGACAUGAGGAUAAGCACAACACUUAACUCAGUUUCAGAUCUCCGAGGAUUUGACAGAAACAUGGCAAAAGUCACCUUACUCUACAGUCCCAAGUCUCAAGUGUCCCUUCAGAACAAACCUUUCGUUUUUUGGUUACCUCAGUGUUUCAUUACAGACAGUGAGAAGAAAAGGGGAAAAGUUUUCAUUUGACUACCUAGUUCUGACCGAGGAAAGCCAGUUUCAGGACCUCCGCAACAGGCUUUCUGCAUACAUAACAAAUGAAUACCUGCAGCAGGAAUACAGGAUACACAUUUUAUUCUAGGCUUUGCUAAAAACACACUCUGAGCUUGGAAAAGUAACCAAAUCUCAACAUGCACCUAAUGUUAUCAUUUUUAACUCCCCAUAAAACUUACUUACUCAUCCUGCAGGUUUCUUGUAUGCUCUGUUACAGACUGUAAAGUUUACUCCAUUUCCAGGCUAGCAGCUUCAAGUAGAAAGCAAAGUGACACAAUGUUCAACAGGGAAAUCAGAAGCGAACGAACAGAAUGAAAAGUCAGUCACGACAAAAAAAAGCUUUUUGUUUGGAAGAUAAUACAAAUGAUCAUUCAAACAGUACAAAGUGGCCUAUUUCAAUCAAUCUUGCCUAGCUAAGAUCAGUAGAACAGAUAAAUGCUGUACACACUCUAAAUGCUUGCAUACUAAAUGCCAAUAUAAAAUGAAUACUGACUGCCUGCAGAGGAACCAUGAGACCAUGGGCGGCCACUGUACUUCUCAUUUCUGAAUAAUUUCCUGAUUUCUUCCUUCUGACUUCCCACUUUCUUCCCUUUGACUCUUCAGCAUAUGUGGUGUAUGUCUCAUGAUCUCAGACACACAAAGACUUCGGCAGGUGAUUCCUAAAACAUCCUGGUUGAUCAGCCCUCUGUUACCUGUCAGAAACCUGCCUAAGUCUACUCUAGAAAUUUAAAUCUUUUCACCUUUUCUUUAGAAUAGUUAUUUUACUCACUCAGCCAAAGUCCAAAUAUUCCCCUGUGAAUAUGGCAGAAGUUUAUGGUUUUUUGUAUCUAUAGAGAUAGACAGCACACAGCAAUGCCUUUGAUAUUCUGUCUGCCUUAAAGAUUUUCUCUGCAAAACGUGUUGAACCAACAGUUCUUCUGUUAUUAUACACAUCUGAAUUCCUGUUUUACAGGAAAUGUAAUAUGCAUGACCUCAAAUUUGUAUGCUUGUCAUUAACGUGUGCAUAGGUUCAUCAAAAGGUAACUUCUUUAGGUAACACCUAUUGGACAGUUCCUAAUUUACUACUAAAAUGCGAAAAAAAAAUGCUAAUGGACUGUAUUUUGUGAGAGAGAGUUAAAUUAACUAAGUAACCUGGUAUAGUUACAUUUUUUUCACAUAGAUUUCUGUAUCCCACUCCAAACUGGUUCCCUUGCAGGGCAACACACUGGAAGAUGCAUUGUCCCAAAGAGGUCACAGUCUGAGAUGCAAUAAGAAGCAACGAGCAAGAGUUGUAAAACAAGAAGAAGAGAAAAGUAAGGGAGGAAAGGUGUGACUGGAAGAAGACACAAGCUACUUUUGUAUACAGUGAAAUGAUUCAGGGUAUUUGACACAUCUUCGUUAGCUUCCUUUCCUCCUCAUCAAGAAAAUAAAUAACCAAAAUUCUUGACUGAUAGGUGACUAGUCACCACUGUUGGCUGACCACAGACAGAAGUCAUGGAGGAACUGAAGAAGCAGAAGGAAGAGAAGAUAUUUACCUUAUGAAUAACAA